AUGCUCGGCGCCCGGGUCGCGGCCCACCUGGACGCACUGGGCCCCCUGGUCCCCUACGUGCCGCCGCCGCUGCUGCCCUCUAUGUUCUACGUGGGCCUGUUCUUCGUCAAUGUGCUGAUCCUGUACUACGCCUUCCUCAUGGAGUACAUCGUCCUCAACGUGGGCCUCGUCUUCCUGUUCGAGGACAUGGACCAGGCGCUCGUGGACCUCGGCGUGCUCUCCGACCCCGGCUCGGGCCUUUACGAUGCUGACUCGGAGCUCGACGUCUUUGAUGGGUACUUGGAGUA
rnacentral:lncRNA from 1 species